rnacentral:lncRNA from 1 species
AAAACCAAAAUAUAAAUAAAUAAAUAAUAAAGUGAAUAAAUAUUUAUUGAUAUAUAUUAUUACACAGGCUCUACUCUUGGUAUCAGCAAUAUAACGACAACCACACAACUGGCUCCUGACAUGCAGAUCAAAUGGACAAGGCUGAUGAGGCUUGAUGAAGAGGGAAGAUUAAUUCAUUGUACACACAGUCUGGUACCAAGAACAGGUAAGGAUUUGCUGUUAGAUGCACUCUAAUCAAUUUCCAUGUUUUUUAAUUUUGAGCAUAUCAGAGC